rnacentral:rRNA from 1 species
UACGUAGGUGGCGAGCGUUGUCCGGAUUUACUGGGCGUAAAGGGCGUGCAGGCGGUUUGUUAAGUGCAGGGUGAAAGCUCCCGGCUCAACUGGGAGAGGUCCUUGCAUACUGGCGAACUCGAGGGAGGCAGAGGAAAGUGGAAUUCCCGGUGUAGUGGUGAUAUGCGUAGAUAUCGGGAGGAACACCUGUGGCGAAGGCGGCUUUCUGGGCCUUACCUGACGCUGAGGAGCGAAAGCGUGGGGAGCGAACAGG